rnacentral:lncRNA from 1 species
AAAUUAUAAAGUGUUUUUCUUCAUAUUAAAGUAUAACAUAGCCUCUCAAGUACAGCCUAGCCCUUGUCGUCUAUAUUUAUUGUAAGUGAUUACGGAACUGACACACGGAAUUUUACUGGUUUCUGUUGUUAAGAAGCUUUUUAUAGCGGAAUAGAAAUCAGUGUAUCAUUCGUUAAAUACUUGAUAUUAACAGACAGAAUUAAAAAAAACUUUCAAUAUAUAACUUAACACGUAAAAAAUUCCACAGCACAGCAGGGGAGUGUUUUUUUGUUCUUUGGUUGUGAGCCAGAAGAGGUCCAUUUCUGUUUUUUUGUUUUUUUGUUUUUUUUUUUUUUUGCAUUGGGAAGAUCUUCUGGCUCUCUUCUACCUCUUCCCUUUAAAUAGGUGGUUUAGACGGCAGAGGCACAAAACAAAAAUGGCGUUGUUUAGUCGAAAUGACAAUAAUAAAUAGA